rnacentral:rRNA from 1 species
UGGGGGAUAUUGCACAAUGGGCGAAAGCCUGAUGCAGCGACGCCGCGUGGGGGAUGAAGGCCUUCGGGUUGUAAACUUCUUUUGCUCUGAACAAGGCGCACCAUGGGGUGUGUUGAGUGUAGGGGUUGAUUAGCGCCGGCUAACUACGUGCCAGCAGCCGCGGUAAUACGUAGGGCGCGAGCGUUGUCCGGAAUUAUUGGGCGUAAAGGGCUUGUAGGUGGCUGGUUGCGUCUGUCGUGAAAGCUCAUGGCUUAACUGUGGUUUUGCGGUGGGUACGGGCUGGCUUGAGUGCAGUAGGGGAGGCUGGAAUUCCUGGUGUAGCGGUGGAAUGCGCAGAUAUCAGGAGGAAUACCGGUGGCGAAGGCGGGUCUCUGGGCUGUUACUGACACUGAGGAGCGAAAGCAUGGGGAGCGAACAGG